rnacentral:rRNA from 1 species
AGUGAACGCUGGCGGCGUGCUUAAGACAUGCAAGUCGAACGGCAGUCUUCGGACUGUAGUGGCGCACGGGUAAGUAACGCGUAACUGACCUACCCCAAAGUCGCGGAUAACGAUUCGAAAGAAUCGCUAAUACGUGAUGUGCUGUCAGAUUGUGUUCUGCCAGUAAAGAUUGAUUGCUUUGGGAUGGGGUUGCGUUCCAUCAGCUAGUUGGUGGGGUAAAGGCCCACCAAGGCGACGACGGAUAGCCGGCCUGAGAGGGUGGCCGGCCACAGGGGCACGGAGACACGGGUCCCACGGCUACGGGAGGCAGCAAUUAGGAUUCUUCCAAGAUGGACGAAAGCCUGAUGGGGCGACGCCGCGGGAGGGAUGAAGGUCUUCGGAUCGUAAACCUCUGAAUCGGGGACGAAAGACACUUCGGUGGGAUGACGGUACCUGAGUAAUAGCACCGGCUAACUCCGUGCCAGCAGCCGCCGUAACAC